AUGGAUGUUCCUCCUGAUCUCUACGCAUUUCACUGCUACACCAGGAAUUCCGCUACCCUCUACCACACUCUAGUCGUCCAGUAUCCACUGCAGUUCCCAGGUUGAGCCCAGGGCUUUCACAACGGACUUAAACGACCACCUACGCACGCUUUACGCCCAGUAAUUCCGAGUAACGCUUGCACCCUUCGUAUUACCGCGGCUGCUGGCACGAAGUUAGCCGGUGCUUAUUCUUUGGGUACCGUCAUCCCAACCGGGUAUUAGCCAGCUGGAUUUCUUUCCCAACAAAAGGGCUUUACAACCCGAAGGCCUUCUUCACCCACGCGGUAUGGCUGGAUCAGGCUUGCGCCCAUUGUCCAAUAUUCCCCACUGCUGCCUCCCGUAGGAGUCUGGACCGUGUCUCAGUUCCAGUGUGGCUGAUCAUCCUCUCAGACCAGCUACGGAUCGUCGCCUUGGUGGGCCUUUACCCCGCCAACUAGCUAAUCCGACAUCGGCUCAUUCAAUCGCGCAAGGUCCGAAGAUCCCCUGCUUUCACCCGUAGGUCGUAUGCGGUAUUAGCGUAAGUUUCCCUACGUUAUCCCCCACGAAAAAGUAGAUUCCGAUGUAUUCCUCACCCGUCCGCCACUCGCCACCCAGAGAGCAAGCUCUCCUGUGCUGCCGUUCGACUUGCAUGUGUUAGGCCUACCGCCAGCGUUCACUCUGAGCCAGGAUCAAACUCUC
rnacentral:rRNA from 1 species